CUGUAAUCACUUCUGCAGUGUUUGGUUGACCUUCGAAACCUGGGGUUCCGUGUGCGCAUGUAGAUCUUAAGAUAAAUGCUUGAUAUUAAACUUGUUUCACCUUCACAUUCACUUCGUGUCGUUCCUUAUAUCUCCGGCUGUUCCUAAUGCUUUCUCCAUGCAGAGACGUUUUCUACUGGGAAACAACGCGAGAAGCUCUGUCAGUGUGCCCAUCCACAGGCCGUGAGUCAUCCUCUCUCCGCUUACACGGGCUGACUUCACCUGAGGUGAGGCAGUAAGACCCUCACCUUCUCCAAACAGCCUCAGGUGCCCUGGCAUCUACAUGCCGUCUAGACAGGAAUGACCCGAGCUUAACCAGACAGACGUAAAAUGAAGGAAAGGAAAAACAAACUGCAUGAUGAAUCCAGAUCACGUGGUUUGGGAAUAAAUAAAAGUUGCUAUGAAAGAGUU